UAGGGAAUAUUGCACAAUGGACGAAAGUCUGAUGCAGCGACGCUGCGUGAGUGAAGAAGGCCUUAGGGUUGUAAAGCUCUUUUGUCCGGAACGAAACGGCUACGACUAAUCCUCGUGGCUACUGACGGUACCGGAAGAAUACGCACCGGCGAACUACGUCCCAGCAGCCGCGGUAAUACGUAGGGUGCGAGCGUUAAUCGGAAUUACUGGGCGUAAAGCGUGCGCAGGCGGUUUUGUAAGCCAGAUGUGAAAUCCCCGGGCUCAACCUGGGAAUGGCAUUUGGGACUGCAAGGCUGGAGUGCGGCAGAGGAGACUGGAAUUCCUGGUGUAGCAGUGAAAUGCGUAGAUAUCAGGAGGAAUACCGAUGGCGAAGGCAGGUCUCUGGGCUGACACUGACGCUCAUGCACGAAAGCGUGGGGAGCAAAC
rnacentral:rRNA from 1 species